rnacentral:rRNA from 1 species
CAGCGCCACGAGUGGUGACCACGUUUAUUGGGCCUAAAGCGUCCGUAGCCGGUUUGAUAAAUCUUUUGUGAAAUUGUACAGCUUAACUGUACAGCGUGCAAGAGACACUGUCAAACUUGAGACCGGGAGGAGUCAGAAGUAUUCCAGAGGGAGCGGUAAAAUGUUAUAAUCUCUGGAGGACUACCUGUGGCGAAGGCGUCUGACCAGAACGGAUCUGACGGUGAGGGACGAAAGCUAGGGGAGCGAACCGGAUUAGAGACCCGAGUAGUCC